rnacentral:rRNA from 1 species
AUUGAACGCUGGCGGCAGGCCUAACACAUGCAAGUCGAACGAGUGGCGGACGUGUGAGUAAGGUCUGGGAAACGGCCUGGUGGAGGAGGAUAACUACUGGAAGCGAUAGCUAAUACCGCAUACCAGCAGCUGGGCCCAGAUGGUAUUAGCGUGUUGGUGGGGCAACGGCUCACCAAGGCGACGAUCCCUAGCUGGUCUGAGAGGAUUAACAGUCACACUGGAACUGAGACACGGUCCAGACUCCUACGGGAGGCAGCAGUGGGGAAUAUUGCACAAUGGGCGCAAGCCUGAUACAGCCAUGCCGCGUGUAUGAAGAAGGCCUUCGGGUUGUAAAGUACUUUCAGCGGGGAGGCGUUACCCGCAGAAGAAGCACCGGCUAACUCCGUGCCAGCAGCCGCGGUAAUUC